AUGAACGCUGGCGGCGUGCCUAAUACAUGCAAGUCGCGCGAACGGACGAGAAGCUUGCUUCUCUGAUGUUAGCGGCGGACGGGUGAGUAACACGUGGAUAACCUACCUAUAAGACUGGGAUAACUUCGGGAAACCGGAGCUAAUACCGGAUAAUAUUUUGAACCGCAUGGUUCAAAAGUGAAAGACGGUCUUGCUGUCACUUAUAGAUGGAUCCGCGCUGCAUUAGCUAGUUGGUAAGGUAACGGCUUACCAAGGCAACGAUGCAUAGUCGACCUGAGAGGGUGAUCGGCCACACUGGAACUGAGACACGGUCCAGACUCCUACGGGAGGCAGCAGUAGGGAAUCUUCCGCAAUGGGCGAAAGCCUGACGGAGCAACGCCGCGUGAGUGAUGAAGGUCUUCGGAUCGUAAAACUCUGUUAUUAGGGAAGAACAUAUGUGUAAGUAACUGUGCACAUCUUGACGGUACCUAAUCAGAAAGCCACGGCUAACUACGUG
rnacentral:rRNA from 1 species